GACAGAGGGUGCAAACGUUGUUCGGAAUUACUGGGCGUAAAGCGCGUGUAGGCGGCUUUGCAAGUCGGGCGUGAAAUCCCAUGGCUCAACCAUGGAAGUGCACUCGAAACUGCAGAGCUAGAGUCCUGGAGAGGAAGGUGGAAUGCUUGGUGUAGAGGUGAAAUUCGUAGAUAUCAAGCGGAACACCGGUGGCGAAGGCGGCAUCCUGGACCAACACUGACGCUGAGGAGCGAAAGCCAGGGGAGCAAACGGG
rnacentral:rRNA from 1 species